GCGUCCAUCGUCAAACUGGAAUAAGGCCUCCGCCUUCUAAGCGGAUUAUUGCAGGUUCGAGUCCUGCUGGGCGCGCCA
rnacentral:tRNA from 1 species